CUAUUCUUCUCUAAUUAAUACUUUUUAAUAUUAUUAUGUUUGUGUUGCUUACAUGACUGUAUGAAAUUGUGCUUUCUAGGGUGAACAAGGCAUUAUAGGAGAGCCAGGAGAACCAGGGUAUCCUGGAGACAAGGGUGCUGUUGGUGUUUCAGGACCACCAGGAAUGAGAGGAAAGCCAGGGCCUUCAGGCCAGGUGGGUGACCCAGGACCCCAAGGACCAUGUGGCCCUCCAGGACCAGAGGGUUUUCCAGGAGAUAUUGGGAUUCCUGGACAGAAUGGCCCUGAAGGAUUAAAGGGACUCCUUGGAAAUAGAGGACCUCCUGGACCUCCUGGUCUCAAAGGACUUCAGGUAUGGAAUAAAUAAAUAACGAGUCAGUAAUUUUUUUAGUUCAAAUUUUCCCUUUUUCAUUUCUGUGGAACUUUAUUGC
rnacentral:lncRNA from 1 species